GGAUAAAUGCCCUGUAUUGUAAGUCCCCCAUGUAGUCCCCUCUGGGAAUGGCCCUGGGAGGGGACUCAGGAAACCCCUUGCAUGGGGACUUGUAUAAAUUGUGGAGCUGAAUUAAAAGACCUCAGUUGACUCCCAGCCUAUGUGUCGUCUAGUUCUUGGGAAAGAAGGGUUACUGCAGUGCUGUUUGGAUUAUUGUAUGCUGAUUCCCUGGAUUAUCC